rnacentral:lncRNA from 1 species
GUUUCUCGGGCAGCACCCCUGUAGGUGGGGGGACCCCACCCUUCGUCCCCUCCAGCCCCCCGGUGUGGAGUCAGUCCCGGCGCCAGCACCCCCGGGCGCCCUCAAGCGGGGAAGCCUGCGGGCGGGGCGUCUCCCUCGGCCCCGGGGAGGCAGCACCGCGGAGUCGAACAGCAGCCGCUGUUGGUGCCCGAGUCAGAACCAGCGCGUGGCUCGCUAGGACCAGGGACUGAAGCCGCUCCCAAGCAGCUCAGCCCCACGACUGCUCAGCUGCGAGAAACCAGGGGGAAAGAAAGCAGUGGUGCGGCCUGGAUCCCCCGCCAGGGCACCAGGUGGAACCGCGGGGAAGGAGGAAGAGGAGGGGGAGGAGGAAGAGAAAGCCUGGAGCAGAGGCGGGGUCAGCCGCACAGGUAGAGUCUGGAGAAACACGUUAUCUCAGGGGUAGAAAAACAACCCUCUUAAAUCAGGGACUCCAGAGAACACACUCACUAUUCGAUUCCUGAAACCUGUCAGUUAUGCAUGAAGUUUCUGGAAAGAAAAUCUUGGCCCCAAAUCUAAGUGGACAGCCUUACAGCCAAUUCCCCAGCUCCUGCCUCUUUAAAAGCCCCACUUCUGAGCUGAUAAAGGCAGAAAUCAACUCGUUUUAGUUACUUAUGGC